GGAGGAGCCUCUGAGGUAAUCAUAGGAGCCAUGUUGCCAUUGAGGCCAGACACCUGGAGUCAGCCAGUGUACCCCCACUAGCACCCAAAGAUGUUCAGAUGUUCAGCACCCAAACAUGCCACAAGGUGCUGCAGCAUGACUGUGAAGGAAUCCGCCUCUCUACCCACCAGAGCUCCGAGUGGGUAGAGAAUGAGCAGGAAAUCCCACCCCAGUUUUCCUACUGCUGGAUUUCAUCGCACUGGAAGGUGAGAAUGCCACACUAGAAGAGACUGCACACCAUGGGCAUCAGGAAGGGACCAUGGGCCACUACUGUUAAACAAUAUCCAGAGCAGGAGCUCUUAGGGAUGGAUGAAAGGCCCAAAAUACAGCGUGUAUAGCUGCUUCCAUUUUGCACUGCAUGCAAAACUUGGCCACCUAAAGAAAGGUGAUGUGUUAGUGUGGAAUGAAAAGGUUGAGGAUGGAGGGGAAUAUUGGACUAUUUGUUACUUAUGGAGUAAGAGUUCCUUUAUUAAACCUCUUGAAUACUUUUGUUUAACAUUUUGAG